UACGGAGGGUGCGAGCGUUGUUCGGAAUCACUGGGCGUAAAGCGCGUGUAGGCGGCCCACUAAGUCUGAUGUGAAAGCCCGAGGCUCACCCUCGGAAGUGCAUUGGAAACUGGUGGACUCGAGUCCCGGAGAGGAGAGUGGAAUUCCUGGUGUAGCGGUGAAAUGCGUAGAUAUCGGGAGGAACACCAGUAGCGAAGGCGACACUCUGGGCCGGUACUGACGCUGAGGAGCGAAAGCGUGGGGAGCAAACAGG
rnacentral:rRNA from 1 species